CCUACGGGGGGCAGCAGUAGGGAAUAUUGGACAAUGGGCGAAAGCCUGAUCCAGCAAUGCCGCGUGAGUGAUGAAGGCCUUAGGGUUGUAAAGCUCUUUUACCCGAGAUGAUAAUGACAGUAUCGGGAGAAUAAGCUCCGGCUAACUCCGUGCCAGCAGCCGCGGUAAUACGGAGGGAGCUAGCGUUGUUCGGAAUUACUGGGCGUAAAGCGCACGUAGGCGGCGAUUUAAGUCAGAGGUGAAAGCCCGGGGCUCAACCCCGGAACUGCCUUUGAGACUGGAUUGCUAGAAUCUUGGAGAGGCGAGUGGAAUUCCGAGUGUAGAGGUGAAAUUCGUAGAUAUUCGGAAGAACACCAGUGGCGAAGGCGGCUCGCUGGACAAGUAUUGACGCUGAGGUGCGAAAGCGUGGGGAGCAAACAGGAUUAGAUACCCCGGUAGUC
rnacentral:rRNA from 1 species